AAUAAACCAGUAAACACAAUUACACAACCCCUAGGUUUUCUUCAUCCUUCGGCCGAAGCAGAGGCAGAGACCAGAGGGCAGAUGCGACGUCGUGGAGAGGCGGAGGAGCGAACUCGCGGCGAGGCGGAGACGCGAGCCGGCAGACGGAGGAGGUUGCGGCCGGCAGCUUUGCAAACGCCACCUUGUUGACGCAAAUUAACGCCAUCCUCGCCAGCCAGAGACCGCCAAACAUCGAUGGGAUUUGAAUUUGCAGGAAAAGCUGUGUAUACAAAAGUGGCUAACUGUUGAGGGUCUUAGUACUGUAUUGCUCACUCUUGCUGGUCGUGAGCUUUCUCACCUCUAAAGAUUAGGUUGGAAGGCACUUUGGAAGAUGAUUUGAUCUAUGAAACUGAAGAUCAUAGCCAACCCUGCCUUCCAUUUGUAGCUUUUUUGCUGCAAAUAUUUUAAGUCUCUACAAGUUAUAUAGAGUAGGUAUGUUUUUUAUUAGAAUUUUGUGAACAUUUAAACUUGGUGAUUGGAAUUGUUCAUUGAAGUAUUUAGACUUGGUAAUUAGUUUUUUGUGUAUUUUGAACAUUGUGUAUCUAAACUUGAUGAUGGUGUUUGAAUAAAUUGUUUUUAUUAUAUUA